CGGACGGGUGAGUAACGCGUGGGUAACCUGCCCUAUACAGGGGGAUAACAGUUGGAAACGGCUGCUAAUACCGCAUAAGCGCACAGUACCGCAUGGUACCGUGUGAAAAACUCCGGUGGUAUGAGAUGGACCCGCGUCUGAUUAGCUAGUUGGUGGGGUAACGGCCUACCAAGGCGACGAUCAGUAGCCGGCUUGAGAGAGUGAACGGCCACAUUGGGACUGAGACACGGCCCAG
rnacentral:rRNA from 1 species